rnacentral:lncRNA from 12 species
GUCCCACAUCAGGCUCCCUGCAUGGAGCCUGCUUCUCCCUCUGCCUGUGUCUCUGCCUCUCUCUCUAUCUCUCUGUAUGACUAUCAUAAAUAAGAGCACACGGCAUCCGGACAAAGUGGAGACGGCCGGCGAGUACCAUGGUGGUUUGCCUAGAGCCUCCCCGACCACGGUGCUGCAUCUGCUCGUGUCCACCCUGGCUCACAGGCUGCAGACUUGGGACCUCGUUACAUCAGCAAAGGAGAGCAACGGAAACUUCUGGCUGGAAAGUACCAGGACCGCGUGUGCCCGUGGGCAGCGGAUGCUCGGCGGCUCCUCGGGGUGGCUCGGCGGCGCGUGCUCGGGGCCUGCAGCUCACACGCCUACUGGGUCAGCAGGUGCGCUCGGCAGGCCAAGGCUGGCCUCCCUCCGUCCCGUGGGCCGCCUGGGACCCGGAGCCAGCCAACCUUCCUUUUUUCUUUUUUUUUUAAUUUUUAUUUAUUUAUGA